rnacentral:rRNA from 1 species
GAUGAACGCUGGCGGCGUGCUUAACACAUGCCAGUCGAACGGAAAGGCCCAAACUUGCUUGGGUACUCGAGUGGCGAACGGGUGAGUAACACGUGGGUGAUCUGCCCUGCACUUCGGGAUAAGCCUGGGAAACUGGGUCUAAUACCGGAUAGGACGAUGGUUUGGAUGCCAUUGUGGAAAGUUUUUUCGGUGUGGGAUGAGCUCGCGGCCUAUCAGCUUGUUGGUGGGGUAAUGGCCUACCAAGGCGUCGACGGGUAGCCGGCCUGAGAGGGUGUACGGCCACAUUGGGACUGAGAUACGGCCCAGGCUCCUACGGGAGGCAGCAGUGGGGAAUAUUGCACAAUGGGCGCAAGCCUGAUGCAGCGACGCCGCGUGGGGGAUGACGGCCUUCGGGUUGUAAACUCCUUUCGCUAGGGACGAAGCGUUUUUGUGACGGUACCUGGAGAAGAAGCACCGGCUAACUACGUG